GAUGAACGCUAGCUACAGGCUUAACACAUGCAAGUCGAGGGGCAGCAUGGUCUUAGCUUGCUAAGGCCGAUGGCGACCGGCGCACGGGUGAGUAACACGUAUCCAACCUGCCGUCUACUCUUGGACAGCCUUCUGAAAGGAGGAUUAAUACAAGAUGGCAUCAUGAGUCCACAUGUUCACAUGAUUAAAGGUAUUCCGGUAGACGAUGGGGAUGCGUUCCAUUAGAUAGUAGGCGGGGUAACGGCCCACCUAGUCUUCGAUGGAUAGGGGUUCUGAGAGGAAGGUCCCCCACAUUGGAACUGAGACACGGUCCAAACUCCUACGGGAGGCAGCAGUGAGGAAUAUUGGUCAAUGGGCGAGAGCCUGAACCAGCCAAGUAGCGUGAAGGAUGACUGCCCUAUGGGUUGUAAACUUCUUUUAUAAAGGAAUAAAGUCGGGUAUGGAUACCCGUUUGCAUGUACUUUAUGAAUAAGGAUCGGCUAACUCCGUGCCAGCAGCCGCGGUAAUACGGAGGAUCCGAGCGUUAUCCGGAUUUAUUGGGUUUAAAGGGAGCGUAGAUGGAUGUUUAAGUCAGUUGUGAAAGUUUGCGGCUCAACCGUAAAAUUGCAGUUGAUACUGGAUAUCUUGAGUGCAGUUGAGGCAGGCGGAAUUCGUGGUGUAGCGGUGAAAUGCUUAGAUAUCACGAAGAACUCCGAUUGCGAAGGCAGCCUGCUAAGCUGCAACUGACAUUGAGGCUCGAAAGUGUGGGUAUCAAACAGGAUUAGAUACCCUGGUAGUCCACACGGUAAACGAUGAAUACUCGCUGUUUGCGAUAUACAGCAAGCGGCCAAGCGAAAGCGUUAAGUAUUCCACCUGGGGAGUACGCCGGCAACGGUGAAACUCAAAGGAAUUGACGGGGGCCCGCACAAGCGGAGGAACAUGUGGUUUAAUUCGAUGAUACGCGAGGAACCUUACCCGGGCUUAAAUUGCAGAUGAAUUACGGUGAAAGCCGUAAGCCGCAAGGCAUCUGUGAAGGUGCUGCAUGGUUGUCGUCAGCUCGUGCCGUGAGGUGUCGGCUUAAGUGCCAUAACGAGCGCAACCCUUGUUGUCAGUUACUAACAGGUUCCGCUGAGGACUUUGACAAGACUGCCAUCGUAAGAUGUGAGGAAGGUGGGGAUGACGUCAAAUCAGCACGGCCCUUACGUCCGGGGCUACACACGUGUUACAAUGGGGGGUACAGAGGGCCGCUACCACGCGAGUGGAUGCCGAUCCCAAAAACCUCUCUCAGUUCGGACUGGAGUCUGCAACCCGACUCCACGAAGCUGGAUUCGCUAGUAAUCGCGCAUCAGCCACGGCGCGGUGAAUACGUUCCCGGGCCU
rnacentral:rRNA from 1 species